AUUCUCGUUGUUACUUUGGAUCUCUACUCUUUUGUCUACCUUAUAUAGGCGUAAGAGUGGAACUUUCAGGUUUACCGGGGACAAGAGAAGUUUGAUUGGAAAUAGGUCUUAGGUUUCCCGGGGACAAGAAUAGAUUCAUCAGAGAUUUUUCUGUUGUAUGUUUAUUUCGUAUUCCCUAUUAUCCUCUAUUUUGCAGUUUUCUUUAUUCUUCUGUUUUAUCUUUGGGUGUUGUUUGUUGAUUGGAAAUAUGUAUUAGUGAAUUAAUUUUCAAUCGUUUGAUUUAUUUGUUUGUUUGUAAGCUUCAUGUUGCGUUUUGUAAUGCUCGUUUCUUUCGUUUCGUAUCAGAAUAAUAUUAUUUGCUUUUAAUGACAUUGUGCCUUAAGAGGUUUCCUGGGGAUAAGAGAGGAUUCAUCGAAGAUACUUCUGUCGUGUAAGAGUGGAAUUUUUAGGUUUACCGGGGACAAGAGAAGUUUUUUUUUUAAAUAGGUUUUGGAUUUGGUGUGAAAAUAAGUUUACUUCUAUUCAACAACAUUGUGCCUUAAGAGGUUUCCUGGGGAUAAGAGAGGAUUCAUCGAAGAUACUUCUGUCGUGUAAGAGUGGAAUUUUCAGGUUUAUCGGGGACAAGAGAAGUUUAUUUUGAAAUAGGUUUUGGGUCAGUUCAGAUCUACAUGAUCACAACAAUACAAGGCUGUUCACUUAUUGGACUAGUGAUGCAUGUCUGGCCACAACAUGCUACAGUCUUCUCUGCUCGGGCUUUAUUCCAAUCGACAUUGAAAUAGCAAUGGGCAAGAUGGUAUUUCUAUGAUGAAAGUUGAGGUAAAGGUGCAGGCUCCAAAGCUCCGCCAUAUGCAUCUUAACUGUUUUGAAGCUGGUAUACCCCAGAAUGGUUAGACUCGUGAGCAUACUUUGCUUGCCUUCACCCUUGGUGUCAAGGAAAUAAUACGUUGUUGCAAUGAGAUGUAUGCAACAACACCAAAGUAUUCUAAAGCCAAGAUGUUUACAAGAUUGGUGGUAUUGGCACUGUUCAUGUUGGUUGUGUUGAAACAGGCAUCCUUAAACUUGGUAUGAUUGUCACCUUUAGACCAAAUGGAGCGCUACUGUGAAGCCCUUGUCCAGGAGCCUGAGGAAAACCAGAAGCAGAUGCUGGGAGAAUUGCAGAAUCUCAGAAUUGAGCACUCUACUUGCGUGUACGCAAUUUCAUCCACGAAGGCCCAAAUGGAGACAAUGAAUCAAGACAUGAAUGAGCAGAUCUUAAGAUUUGCUGAGGAUGGACAUGACUUGGAUUCCCUUAAUCAGGAGCUUGAAAGAAGGGCUAUUACCUCUGAAGCAACACUUAAAAAGGCACACAGUCACUCAUUAUUAAGGAUGAGUGCUGCUUGUGCCACUUGGCCAUUGGUGGUAUGCAGAGAGCUGCUGUUACUGCUAAAACUCCUCUUAGAAUUAAAUCUAAAGAAGUUUCUGAGAUGAACUAUGAUACAUCUAUGCAAGAUAGGGGAAAUUCUACACCUACCUCAAGUACUGUUGAUGGUCAGAAAAACGCCAAGUCAAAGGAAGGGCCAGACUGGAAUCCAGACUUAAAAUUCAGGAGUACAGGCAACCUACUAGGUUGUCCCUGCAGGCUUUAACCACCCCAACUGCGCUGUAUCAAGUAAGACUGUUAUUAACUGACCAAGAAUCAAAGUUUGGAGUUGAAAAUAUGUUUAGAAAUCAAAUUGUAGGCAGGCACUAAAUGCUUGGAAUUGAAUUCUUUGUGUUUGA